rnacentral:snRNA from 1 species
GGGUGUGAGGGUGAUGUGGCUGUGACACCUGUCAGUCCUUUGAUUGCCAGGGUUGAUUCGGCUGAUCUGGCUGGCUGGGGUGUGUGUGUCCCCUUCCUCCCUCGACCUUCCAUGUGUGUCCCUCCUGAAGCUGCCUCGUCAAUGGAAGAGGAUGACCCUCCCAGAUAGAAGGAGCCAACCGGCCUUUGGUCAAGGGUAUACGGUAGCUGCGCUGGAACCUUUUGCUUUGUUUACACCCAGGCUGAUUAAAGGUACUGUUGUAGAAGUCAAAAGCUUGCACACU